AAUUACCUGAGAAUCAUAUAAUAGCAUUUUAAGUUUUAGAUAUUAAAAUGACUAUUAUUAGAUAUUAGAAUGUAUUGUGCAAUUCAAUUCAUAUCAAGACUCUCAUUUAGGUGGUUCUGACAUAUAACAUUUUGACAAUGAAGAUUUCAAUUUGAAGUGGCUAUUAAAGGCCAUGCAUGAUCAUUACCUUGAAAAAAUGAUCAGUACUUUUAAUCAGUACCAUUUAAUACCUAUGGUAACUGAAACGUGAAAUUAAGCACUUAGGAAUGAACCCCAAGAACAAUGUGUACCACUUAUGUAAUAGUUAUGUAACAGUCUUUGGCACUUAAAAGGCUGAUCAUUAUGAUCGCUUAAGGUAGUAAAGCCAUAGAAUUUAUUCUUGCAGAUUAGCCUUAUGUCCACAAUUUUCAGUAGCCCAGAUUCACUUCAAUUUCAUGCAGCCAAAUAUAAAAAUGAUCACAGCAUCCAUAUCAUGUACAUCGACCAUUAAUACAUUCUGUAAAGUAAAAUAAUGGAAAUUCUCAUAGCAUAUUUAAUCUUAUGUUGAGAUCGAAAGAGGUAGAGAGAGAAAGAUAGAGCGAGAGAAAUUUGUCCAAAUUUUGGUAUUACUACAAAUUAAGUUUAGAAAAACAGAGACAAACACACCUUCAAUGUUUGAGCCUGCAACAAUGGCAAUAUUGGAAUUCUCCUCCUGGAAAAUGUAAAGUUUGCAGUCUUCUUCACACAGGUCUGUUGCAGUGUUUUUUAUUUUUUCCUUGGUGAGCUCCUGCAAAGAGAGAGAGGAUGCAUGGAUGUGCUCAGCUUGCAGGACAUCCUAGAAGAAAAACAGCAGAAGCAUCUGUAUCUCGCCUGGUCGUGACGGCAGUGGAAUCCUGGGUGCUGUUUGCGUAAGGCGGCCGACCUCGGGACUGAAAACAGCCCAGCCGGCCCACAGCCCCCCCAGUCAGCCUCCUCUCCUUAAUGACACCAGAACAUUACACAGGGAACAAACCCCACUCUAUGUCAUGUGAACCAGAUGGCUGAAGGACCUGAAGGCUUCUGUGGGCAAACACUGCAUGCCCAGUUAAAGCCAGCAGUUGGCCCUUUUUACUACAGCUCUGUACUACAGAGGGAAGGCUGCCCCAGGGCCUUCCAGCCACUCUUAAACUGUCCCCUUCCCUCAUGCUGAGCUCACAGCUGAAGCUGAAGUCAGUCGGAUGUCUCCCUCUACAUCCUUCAUUCACUCUUAUUUAUUUGGCCAUUUUUAAAUGUUCAGAGGCUUACUGAAGCAUAAUUUGCAUGUGUCACAGCGUUGUUAUUUCCAGCUGUACUACUGGUUUUAGUUCAGGAUAUUUUUUUCUCUCUGUUUUUCUUGUAUGCUCUUACUGACUUUGUGUCUGACAUUUACCUGAAUGUCAAUUCAAGAAUUUAUGCGAUUGAGGCUUGUUUUCAUCAUUUUAAUUGUUAUAGAUAUUUGUGGGAACAUUCAGGGGCAUUUUUAGAGACUACAUUGUUGGGCUUUCCUCAGAGGAGAAUUUCCAAGUCAGUUUAUUUUUGUUUAUUUAUUUAUGUAAACUGCUUUUUCUUCUUUUAUGUAAACUUUCUGGUUCAGCAAGAACAUUUUUUUAAAUUAAAAAUUAUGAUUGCCUUGCACAACUCUA